ncrna:HCV IRES from Hepacivirus C (PDB 5A2Q, chain 3)
CUCCCCUGUGAGGAACUACUGUCUUCACGCAGAAAGCGUCUAGCCAUGGCGUUAGUAUGAGUGUCGUGCAGCCUCCAGGACCCCCCCUCCCGGGAGAGCCAUAGUGGUCUGCGGAACCGGUGAGUACACCGGAAUUGCGAGAUUUGGGCGUGCCCCCGCAAGACUGCUAGCCGAGUAGUGUUGGGUCGCGAAAGGCCUUGUGGUACUGCCUGAUAGGGUGCUUGCGAGUGCCCCGGGAGGUCUCGUAGACCACCAUG